CCUACGGGGUGCAGCAGUGGGGAAUAUUUGGCAAUGGACGCAAGUCUGACCCAGCAACGCCGCGUGAAGGAAGAAGGCUUUCGGGUUGUAAACUUCUUUUAAGGGGGAAGAGCAGAAGACGGUACCCCUUGAAUAAGCCACGGCUAACUACGUGCCAGCAGCCGCGGUAAUACGUAGGUGGCAAGCGUUGUCCGGAUUUACUGGUGGUAAAGGGCGUGCAGCCGGAGAGACAAGUCAGAUGUGAAAUCCACGGGCUCAACCCGUGAACUGCAUUUGAAACUGUUUCCCUUGAGUGUCGGAGAGGUAAUCGGAAUGCCUUGUGUAGCGGUGAAAUGCGUAGAUAUAAGGAAGAACCCCGAUUGCGAAGGCAGCGUGCCGUGCCGCCACUGACGCUGAGGCACGAAAGCGCGGGGAUCGAACAGGAUUAGAGACCCCAGUAGUC
rnacentral:rRNA from 1 species